GACGAACGCUGGCGGCGUGCCUAAUACAUGCAAGUAGAACGCUGAAGGAGGAGCUUGCUUCUCUGGAUGAGUUGCGAACGGGUGAGUAACGCGUAGGUAACCUGCCUGGUAGCGGGGGAUAACUAUUGGAAACGAUAGCUAAUACCGCAUAAUAGUAGAUGUUGCAUGACAUUUGCUUAAAAGGUGCAAUUGCCUCACUACCAGAUGGACCUGCGUUGUAUUAGCUAGUUGGUGAGGUAACGGCUCACCAAGGCGACGAUACAUAGCCGACCUGAGAGGGUGAUCGGCCACACUGGGACUGAGACACGGCCCAGACUCCUACGGGAGGCAGCAGUAGGGAAUCUUCGGCAAUGGACGGAAGUCUGACCGAGCAACGCCGCGUGAGUGAAGAAGGUUGUCGGAUCGUAAAGCUCUGUUGUAAGAGAAGAACGAGUGUGAGAGUGGAAAGUUCACACUGUGACGGUAUCUCACCAGAAAGGGACGGCUAACUACGUG
rnacentral:rRNA from 1 species